UACGUAGGCAGCAAGCGUUGUUCGGAGUUACUGGGCGUAAAGGGUGCGUAGGCGGCCUCUUAAGUCUGGUGUGAAAUCUCCCGGCUCAACUGGGAGGGUGCGCCGGAUACUGAGGGGCUAGAGUGUGGGAGAGGAAAGUGGAAUUCCAGGUGUAGCGGUGAAAUGCGUAGAUAUCUGGAGGAACACCGGUGGUGUAAACGGCUUUCUGGACCAUAACUGACGCUGAGGCACGAAAGCGUGGGUAGCAAACAGG
rnacentral:rRNA from 1 species